rfam:Asian citrus Psyllid, Diaphorina citri - Florida Strain, whole genome shotgun sequence.
GCCAGCGGCGACAGCACAUUGAAUGCGCCAAUUCUCAAUGGUUCACUAAAGUUACACAACGUUGCUCGUGGUUGGUAUAAGAAUGGGUGACAAUAUGGGCAAAUGAGUGCUGCUGGCU